rnacentral:rRNA from 1 species
UGCGUAGGCGGGGCAAUUAGUCAGUGGUGAAAUCCCGCGGCUUAACCGUAGAACUGCCAUUGAUACUGUUGCCCUUGAGUAUAGUUGAGGUGGGCGGAAUGUGUAAUGUAGCGGUGAAAUGCAUAGAGAUUACACAGAACACCAAUUGCGAAGGCAGCUCACUAAGCUAUAACUGACGCUGAGGCACGAAAGCGUGGGGAGCGAACAGGAUUAGAUACCCUGGUAGUC